GACGAACCGUCCAAACGUUAUUCGGAAUUACUGGGCGUAAAGCGUGCGUAGACGGCUAUCUAAGUCGGGUGUGAAAGCCCCGGGCUCAACCUGGGAAUUGCAUUCGAGACUGAAUAGCUAGGGUGCGGUAGAGGGAAGCGGAAUUUCCGGUGUAGCGGUGAAAUGCGUAGAUAUCGGAAGGGACAUCAGUGGCGAAAGCGGCUUCCUGGACCAGCACCGACGUUCAGGCACGAAAGCGUGGGGAGCAAACAGG
rnacentral:rRNA from 1 species